rnacentral:rRNA from 1 species
UACGGAGGGUGCGAGCGUUGUUCGGAUUCAUUGGGCGUAAAGGGUGCGUAGGUGGCGCGCUAAGUCAGGUGUGAAAUUUCGGAGCUUAACUCCGAAACUGCAUUUGAUACUGGCGUGCUUGAGGACUGGAGAGGAGACUGGAAUUCAUGGUGUAGCAGUGAAAUGCGUAGAGAUCAUGAGGGAAGACCAGUGGCGAAGGCGGGUCUCUGGACAGUUCCUGACACUGAGGCAACGAAGGCCAGGGGAGCAAACGGG